rnacentral:RNase_P_RNA from 1 species
GCUUACGGCAAUCCCGUAUUUGGGAGUCACGCACGGAGCACCUCGUUGCUCGUUUUAAACUCUCGGGAAGGUCUGAGAUGAAGCUUUGCUCUUGUUGUUGAGCUGUACGCCCUAGCCGGGUGGCCUUUUCGUAAAGGUGCAGGGGAAUAGAAAGAAUAUCGACUGGAACGUCAUUCAUGUCCCAUGAUGUUCGUUAAAAUGGACUAGGCGUCGGCGUCCACGUUCGAUUGGAACUGCUUCUGUGGCUGGCUUUUUGAGUAUAAUGUGCGGGUUGCGGUAUGGCUUGUCUAACUGCAAAACUCAAUUCAGACUAAUCUGUCGAAAGC